ACUCCUACGGGAGGCAGCAGUGGGGAAUCUUGGACAAUGGGCGCAAGCCUGAUCCAGCCAUGCCGCGUGAGUGAUGAAGGCCCUAGGGUCGUAAAAGCUCUUUCGCCAGGGAUGAUAAUGACAGUACCUGGUAAAGAAACCCCGGCUAACUCCGUGCCAGCAGCCGCGGUAAUACGGAGGGGGUUAGCGUUGUUCGGAAUUACUGGGGCGUAAAGCGCGCGUAGGCGGACUGGAAAGUUGGGGGUGAAAUCCCGGGGGCUCAACCCCGGAACUGCCUCCAAAACUCCCAGUCUUGAGUUCGAGAGAGGUGAGUGGAAUUCCGAGUGUAGAGGUGAAAUUCGUAGAUAUUCGGAGGAACACCAGUGGCGAAGGCGGCUCACUGGCUCGAUACUGACGCUGAGGUGCGAAAGUGUGGGGAGCAAACAGGAUUAGAUACCCUGGUAGGAUAGCG
rnacentral:rRNA from 1 species